AAGGAUUUAAUUACAUUUUAUUAAAAUAAUUUGUAAUUAUAUUUCUAAUUAGUGAAAUUACUUUUAUAUAACUUACCGUAUCGCGUCUUGCAAGAGUAAUAGCAAUACAAAAUGAGAAAAACGUUAAAAGUAAUAUAAUAUUUUUAGCCAUUUUUUGGAGCUUUAUUUUCAAUUCAAGUUUGAAAAAAAAAACAGAAGCGAUCAGAAAUUAUGUCGUUACUGUGUUUGAGAAACUGACAAGCUUAUGACCGGUCAUUGAUUUUGUCUUCCUUUUAUAUAAAACGCGAUUACCAUAACUAAAUAGAGUUAGGGAUCCACACUGUAGAAAAUCACGAUUUGGAAGUAAAUUAUUCAUCGGGCAUAAAUUACAGAAAACAACUUUAUGUUUAAUACAAAAAAAUAUUUAUGCAAAGUAAAAAAAAAACUCAAAAAUAGGAAACAUUUCUCGAAAAGAGGUGCGAAUUUUGUUGAAGGUCUAUUAUGUCACCUAGAAACACCCUAAAAUAAAAAAAUCGUCAGCUAGAGGUUAAUGAGGAAAACAAAAAAAAAAGAGAGUAAAUUUUGUGUAAAUAUUAAUUUAUUUCAAGCCGUAAGAUGGACGGUGGAGUCGGUAAGUCCCAUCCAGAUGCCCAUACACAUAACCGGACAUAGGUUCAAUAUGUCUGUUUAUGUGCCCGCAUCUGUCCGCAGUUGUCCGCGGUUGCCCGCGGUUGCUCGCAGUUGCCCGCAUCUGCCACGAUGAUUCCGGGACGAAAGUCCAAGUUUCAUCCCUAAAAUUUUUUGCAAAUAUUUCAAACAAAACUUGGAAAGAAAAAAAAUUGACAUGAAAAAAUAUUAUAAAUUUUUGUUGUAUCUAUAAAAAAUAACACGUAAUAGAUUCUUGAAGUUUCAAUGCAAACCACA